UAUGUUUGUAUCUAUCAGGAGCAGCAGGCCUGACAGCCACAGGUAACAGGUGAUAUGUAGAAGUUCAAGACUCUUAUUCUCCAGGUGCUCUAGAAACAGAAGUUGACAUCAAUUUGUUAUUAGUUAAACUUAACUGUGACUUAGAAUACCUUAUCUCUCUUUCCUUCCCUUCAUUCUAGGGUAAAAAAAUAAAAUACAAAUAAAGAAAGAAUAGCGUAUUUCCAAGGGGAAGAGGCUCUUCUACAAUUACUGUGCAUGUGCUGCAUACCCUUGGAGCAGUUAGACCUGUGUUAUCUAGUCUAAAGAGGACCAGGAAGUUCUCCUCCUGACCUUUGGUCCACUUUGCAGUUGGCUCUUCUACCAAUGCUUCUCUUAAAAUAUUAGUGUAGAUUUAUGAUCACUUAAGUGAAAAUUAUUAUAGCAUUUAAUUUUCAUCCAUUAAUCUGGAAAUAUUGUCUCUGGGGGUUGAAUUUGAACUGGCUAAAGAUUUUUGUAAAUAUACUUUUCACUUCUCACAAGUAUUCAUUUAGAUUGAAAAAGAAAAUGGAAGUGUCACACUAUUGGCUGCUCUAUAUAAUCCAUAACUACUCUUCUAAUGCUUGCUCGUUGCAUUUGAAAUAAGGGAAGAAAAUGGUUAUGUCCACUGUGGAGGCAAGACUUUCCUUCACUCCUGUAAGAUACCAAAUGCCGGCAUGUUGACUUUGAUUUUAACUAAAAUUUGGAAUCCUCCCAGAUUUGUUAACUCAGUGGUGGCAAGUUCUGUAACUGUACUGUUUCAGUUGGGGAAAUUAGUAAGAUUUACAUUCCCUCUAUUCUCAAGAAUAUCUUCAUUCAGAAUCACUUUUACUUUUUCAGUUAAAGAAACCUGUUCUCUUGUAGCUUUGUAAUGUCCUGGGAUAGCUAUUAUGAACAUAGGGGAACUGGGAAGAUACUAAUUUCAGUACAGAUGGUAAGUUCUGUCUCCAGUUUGAUAGUGUUUAACCUCUUGCAUCCCCUUGCUUUCCAAAUGGUGAGCAUGACCUUAUUAAUAACUGUAAAUAGCGUUCUACAACAGUGGCUUUUCCCCCCAAAGAGUAAAGAAAAGGCAUGUUUUGGAAUAUUAUACUCUGCAAUUGUAAUUAAAAAUGGACUCUGGCUGGUAAAAGGUAAAAAGUAAAAUAAAAAAAAUUACAAUGAACCUAUUUAAAAAUUAACCAUUACUUGCCAAAAGCACAUCAGACCUACUUAGCGGACAUCCGUUAAUCCAGCGGUUAGCUGUUUCAGGCUUUAAUGCACACUGUUUUACACGUUAACGGUUUUGAAGUUCCAGGCCAAGGUUGACCUUUCACAUCUGCUCCUUUCACAGUAGGAAUCUCCACUUACUGCUUCCUGUCAGAAUGGAUUAGAGUGACAAAGUGCAGAGCUUGCGCUGGCUGCAAUUUAGUUUUUGAUCAGAAUUAUUUCUUUCACAAACAAUCACAUUUUGCUAAAACGUUACAUCUGCUCUGAAAAACCACUGGCAGACCCACAGUUGAUCAGUGCGAUGAAGAUGGUUCUUCUCUCCAUACUCUUCUUUCAAAGAAUGCAUCAUCACUAGAUUUGAAAUAAAUACAUG